rnacentral:rRNA from 1 species
AAUAUUGCGCAAUGGGGGGAACCCUGACGCAGCAACGCCGCGUGAAGGAUGAAGGUUUUCGGAUCGUAAACUUCUUUGAUGAGGGACGAAAGAAAUGACGGUACCCCAUACACAAGCCACGGCUAACUACGGGCCAGCAGCCGCGGUAAUACGUAGGUGGCGAGCGUUGUACGGAAUUACUGGGUGUAAAGGGCGUGUAGGCGGGAAUGCAAGUCAGAUGUGAAAUACCGUGGCUUAACCACGGAGCUGCAUCUGAAACUGUGUUUCUUGAGUGUCGGAGAGGAAAGUGGAAUUCCCAGUGUAGCGGUGAAAUGCGUAGAUAUUGGGAGGAACACCAGUGGCGAAGGCGACUUUCUGGACGAUAACUGACGCUGAGGCGCGAAAGCGUGGGGAGCAAACAGG